CCAGUCUUCAUAUUAAACCUUUAUUUAUUCAGGCUGUUCUCGUACAUCGUUCGUAGCUAUACCUACGAAAAGUAAUGCACUGUAAUUUGUAUAUAUCCCACAAAAUCAAUUUGUAUGUAAUCCACGUAAACGUGAACCAUGAAGUAUAAAGAGCGACAAAUGCCGUGUAGA